AAAGAACUAGAGAAGCAAGACAAAACCCCAAAGCUAGAGGAAGACAAGAAAUAACUGAAAAUCUGAGCUGAACUGAAAGAAACCGAGACAUGAAAAAAAGAAAUUCAAAAGAUCUAUGAAUUCCGGUUUCUCCACAGACACUACCCAAAGCAGUGCUUCACUACAGUGGCAGACAGACCUGAAAAUUUUCAUCUGAAGCAGCAGAGUGAACUGCAGAGGCAGGUCACCAACCAGUGUGGAGGCUAAAAGCGGGCCUCUUUGGGGAUUCCAGGUGGAAGUGUUGGACAUCUGUAGUAUUCCUGGUCUCGAAUCAUCCUGAUAUUCUUCAUUUUGUUAUUCACAUUGGACUAGGGAACAAAGAUCACCACAACUGGCUCCCCUUCAACUAUGUUAGAUGGCAACUUGCCUUCAGUAUGGUGAAACACAUCAGUUAAGACCGGGGUUGUGCAUGGCAGGACUUUCUACAAGGACACCCAGUCUCCUUAAUAAACAUGAGAUGCUCUCUUUCCAGAAUUUCUCUUGCCUGACACAGCAUAGGAAGAUGCUGAACGGCCACACAGUGAUCCAUUG
ensembl:lncRNA APPAT atherosclerotic plaque pathogenesis associated transcript